GCAUAAAAGAGUCUGACUCGCACCCUUCUAUUCAAGUUUAUUGCAGGCGCGCAAGGUCUCUGACUUGCUUGGCAUUGAUAGAAACACCUGACGGGCCUUGCUUCUGCUGCCUCCGAUGGCCAACGCGGGCGGCGCGGUGGUUAGAUGGAUUCUGCAACUCCACCGGGACGUGCCCAGGGCGGCGAGGUUCUACUCGGAGGGCCUCGAUUUCAGCGUCGAUGUCUGCACCCUCCGAUGGGCCGAGCUCCACUCGGGCCCCUUCAGGCUAGCGCUCAUGCACUCACCUAGCAAUGCAGCCAUGAGUAAGGGAUACUCUUCCAUGCUAUCCUUCACAGUAGCAGACCUAAACAACACGGUCACCAAACUAAUGGCACUGGGCGCGGAGCUUGAUGGUCCUAUAAAGCAUGAAAUCCACGGGAAGGUAGCUGCCUUGCGAGGCCUUGAUGGGCAUGCGUUGAGUCUCUAUGAACCUGCUUGAAGAUAUAAAGUUCUCUUCGAUACUCGAGCAUGAGACUUUUUUUUUGUUCCUCUGCUUGUAUGUGUGGAAAAGGAGCAUGCUUCCCCGUCCUCCUCCUCGCAAGAAGCAGGUCCAUCAGCUUGCUCAAGGCGCAUUCUUUGUCGUAGUUAACCCCGAAACAGCUUGUUCAAGUUCCAGGAUGACAUUCAGAAUCUUGGGGAACUCAUUAUAUUAUAUCGGAUUACAAUAUGCUUAUCGAACAAAUC